rnacentral:rRNA from 1 species
GUCAAGUGACGAAGCGUACACGGUGGAUGCCUAGGCAACUGGAGGCGAUGAAAGACGUUGUAGCCUGCGAAAAGGCUCGGGGAGGUGGCAAACGACCUUUGAUCCGAGCAUCUCUGAAUGGGGAAACCCACCUGUCUUAAGGCAGGUAUCCCGCACUGAAUACAUAGGUGCGGGAGGCGAACGCGGGGAACUGAAACAUCUAAGUACCCGUAGGAAAAGACAUCAAACGAGAUUCCCCAAGUAGCGGCGAGCGAACGGGGAUUAGCCCUUAAGCACUGGGCCGGUUAGUGGAAUGACCUGGAAAGGUCAGCCGUAGUGGGUGAUAGCCCCGUACACGAAAACCCAACAGUGUGAAAUCGAGUAGGUCGGGACACGUGUUAUCCUGACUGAACAUGGGGGGACCAUCCUCCAAGGCUAAAUACUCCCAGUUGACCGAUAGUGAACCAGUACCGUGAGGGAAAGGCGAAAAGAACCCCUGUGAGGGGAGUGAAAUAGAUCCUGAAACCGUGUACGUACAAGCAGUGGGAGCCCCUUCGUGGGGUGACUGCGUACCUUUUGUAUAAUGGGUCAGCGACUUACAUUAUGUGGCGAGGUUAACCGAAUAGGGGAGCCGUAGCGAAAGCGAGUCUUAACUGGGCGUCCAGUCGCAUGAUGUAGACCCGAAACCCGGCGAUCUAUCCAUGAGCAGGUUGAAGGUUGAGUAACAUCAACUGGAGGACCGAACCCACUAAUUUGAAAAAUUAGGGGAUGACUUGUGGAUCGGAGUGAAAGGCUAAUCAAGCCGGGAGAUAGCUGGUUCUCCUCGAAAGCUAUUUAGGUAGCGCCUCGGACGAAUACCACUGGGGGUAGAGCACUGUUUGGGCUAGGGGGUCAUCCCGACUUACCAACCCCAUGCAAACUCCGAAUACCAGUGAGUACUAUCCGGGAGACACACGGCGGGUGCUAACGUCCGUCGUGGAAAGGGAAACAACCCAGACCGUCAGCUAAGGUCCCAAAAUCCAUGUUAAGUGGGAAACGAUGUGGGAAGGCUCAGACAGCUAGGAGGUUGGCUUAGAAGCAGCCACCCUUUAAAGAAAGCGUAAUAGCUCACUAGUCGAGUCGGCCUGCGCGGAAGAUAUAACGGGGCUCAAACAUGGUACCGAAGCUACGGACUUGUGCUUGCACAAGUGGUAGAGGAGCGUUCUGUAAGCCGUUGAAGGUGGAUUGAGAAGUCUGCUGGAGGUAUCAGAAGUGCGAAUGCUGACAUGAGUAACGAUAAUGCGAGUGAAAAACUCGCACGCCGAAAGACCAAGGGUUCCUGUCCAACGUUAAUCGGGGCAGGGUGAGUCGGCCCCUAAGGCGAGGCUGAAAAGCGUAGUCGAUGGGAAACGGGUUAAUAUUCCCGUACUUGGGUGUACUGCGAUGGGGGGACGGAGAAGGCUAGGCCAUCCGGGCGUUGGUUGUCCCGGUUCAAGCAAGUAGGCUGAGAUCUUAGGAAAAUCCGGGAUCUUAAGGCUGAGAUGCGAUGACGGUGAGACUACGGUCUCCGAAGUGGUUGAUGCCCAGCUUCCAGGAAAAGCCUCUAAGCUUCAGGUACACCGAAACCGUACCCGAAACCGACACAGGUGGUCAGGUAGAGAAUACCAAGGUGAUCGAGCGAACUAUGGUUAAGGAACUCGGCAAAAUACCCCCGUAACUUCGGGAGAAGGGGGGCCGAGG